GAAAUAUGUGGGCAUACCUCACUUGUAUAUGUUUGAUUUUCUACUGUAGACACGGGAGCAGAAAGACAGGCACUGAGAGAAAAUGUAUAUCCUAAACUGAGAGAAUUCUGCAGAGAAAACUAUGGACUGGAAUUUCAGGUCAUAGAUCUGUACUGGGGCGUUGAUGAAGAUGAAUGGGACAGCCCUGAGCUCCAGAAGACACGCAUGAAGCUGCUGGAGGAUUGCUUGAAAACUUCUGCAGGUCCAUGUUUUGUUGUGGGUAUAAAAACACUAAUGCUUUAUAUUAAACCCUAGAUGAAUGUGACUGACA